rnacentral:rRNA from 1 species
GAUGAACGCUGGCGGCGUGCCUAAUACAUGCAAGUCGAGCGAACAGACGAGGAGCUUGCUCCUCUGACGUUAGCGGCGGACGGGUGAGUAACACGUGGAUAACCUACCUAUAAGACUGGGAUAACUUCGGGAAACCGGAGCUAAUACCGGAUAAUAUAUUUAACCGCAUGGUUCAAUAGUGAAAGACGGUUUUGCUGUCCCUUAUAGAUGGAUCCGCGCCGCAUUAGCUAGUUGGUAAGGUAACGGCUUACCAAGGCAACGAUGCGUAGCCGACCUGAGAGAGUGAUCGGCCACACUGGAACUGAGACACGGUCCAGACUCCUACGGGAGGCAGCAGUAGGGAAUCUUCCGCAAUGGGCGAAAGCCUGACGGAGCAACGCCGCGUGAGUGAUGAAGGUCUUCGGAUCGUAAAACUCUGUUAUUAGGGAAGAACAAAUGUGUAAGUAACUAUGCACGUCUUGACGGUACCUAAUCAGAAAGCCACGGCUAACUACGUGCCAGCCGCCGCAGUAA